rnacentral:rRNA from 1 species
GACGAACGCUGGCGGCGUGCUUAACACAUGCAAGUCGAACGGAAAGGCCCUGCUUUUGUGGGGUGCUCGAGUGGCGAACGGGUGAGUAACACGUGAGUAACCUGCCCUUGACUUUGGGAUAACCUCAGGAAACUGGGGCUAAUACCGGAUAGUAGCUCCUGCUGCAUGGUGGGGGUUGGAAAGUUUCGGCGGUUGGGGAUGGUGUCGCGGCUUAUCAGCUUGUUGGUGGGGUAGUGGCUUACCAAGGCUUUGACGGGUAGCCGGCCUGAGAGGGGGACCGGCCACAGGGGGACUGGGAGGGGGGCAGGAGUGGGGCGGGAGGCAGCAGGGGGGAAGAGUGGACGAGGGGCGGAAGCGUGAGGGAGCAACGCCGCGGGGGGGAGGACGGCCUUCGGGGGGGAAACAGGUUUCGCCUGUGACGAAGGGGGAGUGAGGGUAAGGGGUAAAGAGGCACGGGCAAACUAGGG